AAAUUGAAGAGUUUGAUCAUGGCUCAGAUUGAACGCUGGCGGCAGGCCUAACACAUGCAAGUCGAACGGUAACAGGAAACAGCUUGCUGUUUCGCUGACGAGUGGCGGACGGGUGAGUAAUGUCUGGGAAACUGCCUGAUGGAGGGGGAUAACUACUGGAAACGGUAGCUAAUACCGCAUAACGUCGCAAGACCAAAGAGGGGGACCUUCGGGCCUCUUGCCAUC
rnacentral:rRNA from 3 species